rnacentral:lncRNA from 1 species
CUGGGGUUGGAGCUGGGUCUUUCUCUGGUUUGACCAGGAGGGACUGGCUGCUUUCCCUGGGUGGCUGUUUCUACCUUGUCUUUCCCAUCCCAUCCCAGCUUACUGGCUGGCUUGUUGUCAUCUACUGAGCUUCCUGGUGUGAUCCUGAACCAUUUGAUCCAUCUGUCUAUUCCAGCACUGAGUGACAAGGUUGUAUUAGAUGAACCAAGGCCCUUCCAGCAGUUAAGAUUCUGGUUCUAGGAGCAAUCAUAACUUCAAGGACAUGUAGCAUAUAUUCAGCUUGACUGAGGAAUCAGACACCAAAG